rnacentral:misc_RNA from 1 species
CGAAGAAGCCGGUCGGAAAAAUUAACAUCGUUAAAGGCGAAACCAAAAUCUCCAUCGGAAGAAGAAGCCCCACGGGAAUAGACCGACUCCAUCUCCGUUCUGGGGUCGAACAGAUCAGAGUUCGAGCCUUUCAUCAACUCUCUCCAAAAUCAGCGAAAAAAAGAAAAAAUAAAAAUAAAUAAAAGAAGAGAGAGGAAGUGAAACCCUAACAAUCAGGUAACCCGAUGUAAUCUGAAAAAGAGAGAAGUAUAUAAGAUUCUGCUGGUGAGGAGAGAGGAAGCUAGGGUUAGGAUUUCUGCAACAUGAACUAUUAAUUGAAGGAAAAUUGGCACAACAGAAGCGGUUGAUUUGUUUCGCGUGCGUUUACGGUUU